CGUAGGUGGCAAGCGUUGUCCGGAAUUAUUGGGCGUAAAGCGCGCGCAGGCGGUCUUUCAAGUCAGUGGUGAAAGCCUGGAGCUCAACUCCAGAACUGCCAUUGAAACUGCAAGACUUGAGUACGAGAGAGGUGAGUGGAAUUCCCAGUGUAGAGGUGAAAUUCGUAGAUAUUGGGAAGAACACCGGUGGCGAAGGCGGCUCACUGGCUCGUAACUGACGCUCAGGCGCGACAGCGUGGGGAUCAAACAGGAUUAGAUACCCUGGUAGUCCACGCCGCAAACGAUGAAUGCUAGCCGUUGGGCAGCUUGCUGUUCAGUGGCGCAGCUAACGCAUUAAGCAUUCCGCCUGGGGAGUACGGCCGCAAGGUUG
rnacentral:rRNA from 1 species